CGAUAUUCCAUAAAAACAUAGAAUAUUAGCUCUUCUAAAUCAGAAUAGAAGUUUAGAAAAACUCUUCAAACCCAUUUUGUAUAAACUAGAAAAGGAAGAUUUCUGUCCAGUCACUGAAGAUGGCAGGAUCAGUAAAAUCAAUCAGCAGUCCACUUCCAGUUACUUUGUUUCCAACUUUAGCUGCUCUUAUUGUUACUGCUUCAUUCUUCAUCUUUGAAGCUACCUCAAAUUUGAGUUUGAUUAAAUGGUGAAAGUGAAACAGUUAAAUCUGGAACGUUUAGAUAUCGAAUUCUUUGUGAAGACAUGCAUUUCACAUAUCUCAUGAUUAUUCUGAUGAAUUUGUUAUCCAGCAUUAAGAGGGUCUGAGGAGUAACAAAUGAGUUGUUUUGCUAGUUAUCUACUGGGUUCACAAAUCCAGCCUCCCUCGCCUAACAUUUUCCUAUUACAUGCCCUUGGCUGUAUAUCUCAUUUUUUUCAUAUGGAGUGCAAUAGCUAUGAAAUACUGAACAUAAAGUUUCAUAGUUUUCUUGAAAUUAUUGUCACUACGAUCUUGAGCAUUCUGGUCUUUGCAAUCCAUUACACCUUCCUGCAACUCAAAGCAGUCCGAGGUUUAUCAUUUUGUUUGGGGUUUGAUAGGUCAUGUUGAUUGUUAUUUCUUUGUGUGUGUAAAAUUCAAGUCCUAUGUCAGGUAUGGGAAUACUAUUUGGUGAUCCUAGGAUGUUCCAGUAAAGAACGGCCAAUGGUCAUGGAAUUAUGUCAAUAUGAUCUUAGGAUAUUCUGUUUUGGGUUAACCUUAAUGUUUUGGUCUAUUUUAAGCUUUUGUAGUUUUUGAAACGGGAGACUACGCAUCGCUAAAAUUUCGUUACUUUUUUGUAGUCUCAGUUAUAAAGUAAAAUGUUAGGGCAUCCCACUGUUUUCUCUGCAUCAGGGUUAGUCUGUCUCAAAUUUAUAAAGUACCAUGUGAUCAGAUGGUUGGUACUCGAGUGACGUCAGUAGAACCUUUGGGUUUGUUGGGUCCACUACUUAACUGUGAACAUUUUGAUCUGAUGCCUUUUUAUUGUAGGUGGAUAGAAUUUGAGUUUACUGAAAAGAGGUUUAUCAGUGAAGCAUUUGUUACUAAGUUUGAGCCUUUACUCUGAUUAUUUGGUACUUAUCUACUGGGUUCAUAGAUCCAGCCUGACAUUCAUCUCAUUCUUUCAUAUGGAGUGCAAUUAGCUAUGGAAUACUGAGUACUAAGCAGAGUUUCAUGGUUUUCUAAAAAUUGUUGUCACUACGAUCUUGAACAUUCUGGUCUUUGCAAUCCCUUAUCCUUGUUACAACUCAAUGCAGUCUUGAGGUUUAUCAUUUGCUAUGAAGCCACCUCAUCUGGAAAAACUCGCAGUGUUGUGAAGGAGCUGAUAACCUGGACAGUUGCAUCUGUUUUCCUGGGUUUUGGAUCAUUGUUCUUGCUACUGGCUUCUGAUGUUUAUGUUUGAUAGCGACACAAGUGCAUUUGUACCUGUUUCCAAUCCCCAAAUUCAAUUGCCAAUAGCACUGCCAUUUAUAGAACCAGAUCUAACAACACAAAAAUAACCAUAGAGGAGGUCCCAGAGUACGGUGCCCCCUAUAAACCAACCCGACCCAUUUUUGCCUUAUACGGAAAAAAGAACAGGGAAAAGAAAAAGUGAUGGGGAGUAUCAUCAGACCUUCAUUUACUUUUUCAGACAACAACAAAAAGCCUGAGAGAGCAAUUAAAAGAGAAAUCAUUAAGAAGAAAAAAAAGGAGAGAUUAUGAAGGAAAAUGAAGGAAAGAGGAAAAACAAAUGAUAGAUACACACAAUGGAAAUCACUUUUACGAUUGGCUUGCUAAUCAUAACCUUGUUUCCUUUUCCUUCUUGCCGGUGGGGUCCUCAGCUAGAGCAAGCAAGCUACUUACAAAACUCACCAACGUCUUCCCUUUUCUGAAGAGGUAUACAGUCAUUGUUGUUGUUGUUGGUGGUGUGAGUUGAGGUCUGCUGAAUCUGUUUACGCCGGCUUGCCUGCCUAGACAUUAUCUGCGGGACGUAUAUCUUGUAAAAGGAUUACAAACAUCACUAAGAAGUCAGUGACUUUGGUGGUUUUGUGCAGAUUCUAACUGGGCAUCAAGAUAAUGCGGAAUUUGCACUUGAUAUGUGCCCGACUAAGCCUUCGUAUUAUCUGGAGGUUAGAUAUUUCAAGUCUGUGCCUUCUGGAGGUUAGAUCUUUGUAGAUGAUGCCUCUGAGAUAUGAUUUUUGUUUUAUUGAAUAGUAUUCUGAAACCUUGACUGAUGGAGGCAUGAUAGUGUAAUAUCUUUCAACUCAUGACAUUUUUUAGCAGUAUGCUGCAAACUAUUCCAAUAAUGAGUUAUGUGUUCAGUGACUUCCCUUGAGGAUGCAGAGUUUUUUGUUUAUUGAUUGUUUUAGUUGUUCUGGACCUGAAUAUGGAAACGAUCUACAUUU